UACAAGCGAGUGGUAUUUAUUAUUUCAUUGGGGGAAGUCCAAGCUCGAGGUUCGCACACAGAAAAUCUGCUUGAAACUUAGCUCUUGCGCGCCCUCGGGGUCAGGCCGCUGCUAGUAAAUUCACCGGUAAUAGCUGUACGUUUUGCUAAGAGCAAGAACAAGUUAUUUCUGUUUCUCCCUGCGUAGGACACCCUUUGUUAUGUAUUAUUUUUAGACAGCCAGUACAGCCAUACUCGAGAUGUGGAGGAUUUUGCUGCAAUACAUUGUGAGCUGCACCCACAUGCUUAAAACCAACUUUCAGCUAGCCCAGCCCAAGACAAACACUUGCGCCUUCGCCAGUUACACAGAACAAGUCCUGGGUGCAGUAAGCAGCAGUGUCAGGAGUAGGUACGAUUCUCUUUGCCCAUCUGUAAUAACCAUAAACUAAGUGAAGCCUUCUUCAGAACAGCUUACCAAUUAAUUUUUACAUUUCCGCUAGCGCUGCUGUGGUGCUUGCCUCAAACAGCAGUUGGUCCUACAAUAAAUGUAUGACUAGGAAAUCAGAAAUAGGUACACCUGUCAUUACUUGCAGAAAGUGAGUAAAGGUCCAGAGAGCUUAAGUAACUUUGCUAAUGAAAUCCUGUAGAAUGGGCACUUUCCAACUCCUUUUUCCCCAUCAGGGACUAUCCAGCAUGCUGACCUCUUAACAAACCAGAAACUAUUAAAACCACUCACACUUGUGUAGCGCACUCAGUGUAGAAACAGACUUUUAGGAUCAGACAGGCCCAGUAACUUCAAAUUCCAAUAUAAGAGAAAAAAAGAGGGGGGAAAAAAAAAAAAAAGACUGUAUGAACUGCAGAGGCCAUCUGGUUAUUUGUGUACUUGCCUGUGAGGAAUUACUCUCUGACAGUAUCACUUAAGUGAUCCUACCAAAAGUCUCAGUCGUCUUACGUGCUGAUUUAAGUUACUGUUGUUGCUCUGGAAUUCAGCUCAUAGCAGAAGGUAUUAAAGAGAGCGCAGCAUACUAAAUCAUAUACCUUUAGUGCGCAAAGUAUAAAAAUGACUAGAAAUGAUAAAUGUCAAGAAGCUAAUAAUAUCUCAUUUAUGAUAGAAAACAUGUUGUUUUAUCUUUUAAAUGAUAAUCCACAUGUGUAUCUGCCCUGCAGCUGUACAAAUGCUUUAGAACUGGAGACAGGUUUUCCACAGAGAGCUUGGUGGUGUCCAUACUCUCACAUGUCUGAUGCACAACUGAGCCUGCUGCCUUUCCAGUUUCUUUAUUCUGGCAGGUGGACUACAGGACUAUGUUCUGUAGCUGGACAGCUCUCUGAUAAUGCCGUGUUCCUUAUUGGUAUUUGCAUUAUUUAACCAUCUUUAUAUAGUUUAAAUUCAUGAUUUAUUCUCUCUAGUAAGCUCUACUUACAUGACUUUUCCUUGAGAUUCACCUUCCAGCUCUGCCUGCCCUGUGCACAGGGCACAUCUGGCAAAAGCACUCCAUCCUUAAGGUGUAAGGUCUUGACCUUCAUGCCAAUAAAACCAGGAAGUGGCAGUUCCAAAAUGAUUUCAUUAAAAAAGACAGUGGCUGCAUCAUUGAUUCCCACAACCUAUUGACCAAGGACUCAUAGCACAGGCCGAAUCAAUCACAGCAGCAUGGUACAGUGCCAGAACCUGACCUCCUAACAGAUUUGAGAUGAAAAGCUUCUGAUCCACAUAGGGCUAACACAGAAAGGCCUCCCUGUUCCUCAGAUCCUCUACAGCUUCAAAGAACUGCUGAGCUUCGUUUCCUGGUUCCCAUACUGAAGACAGUGUCUCCACCUCAGAUUAUUAACAUGCAGGCAGGGUUCCUCAGUGUUCUAGACCCCCUCAAUUAUUCUCAGUAAGAAAAUGAGGAGUUUUCGCUACAGAUGGUCCAGGCUCUGGCACAGAACAGAUGUCAUGCCUUGAUAUGGCAGUUCAGACCAAUGGCACAAAGAUCAGGGCAGGCUCAACAUGUAGUUCCGUAUCAAGAGCCUUACACUUUCAAAUAAUUUCUCAUUGACCUUAUGACAGGCUACCAGAUCAGGAUCCUCAACCUCUCCUCAUUAAAUAUUAGGAUGUUAGUCCAUAUUAUUUCAAAAUUUCAGAAUGUAGCAUUAUCAGGGGCAUCUGACCAGACCUCAGCACACACUUCUAUAAUCUCACAGAUCUGUUUCCCUCCCCUUCUCCAUCUCACAGGUGAGACGUGGUGCCUCAAAAUAGAAUUCUUUCUGCUUUUCGUCAAGGAGGAAAUAAUUCUACUGGGAUACCAUACGAUUUCAAGCAAAACAUAACUGUUCCUCUGAACCACGGUUUGCUGGCAGCAGGACCCUCACUACCUUUUGUGGCACUAGCUCAACAUGUGCAUGUGGCUUCAGUCCCAGUCCAUCUGAAUCUUCCCACCCCUACUUGGCAGAGUCAAGUUUUCAUUCAAGCUGCCACUGCUGAUUCACCCUGCAUUGAAGACUUCCACAGGAGGAGAAUUUUCUGCCUACCAGCUUUCACCUUCACUAGUUACCAAAUUCUCAAAAGAAACACUUAAAGAAGUACAGAUCAUUUAAACACAAAUGCUAUUUAACUGCUUCAGCAUCCUCCUCUCUUUCCUUGCAGUAUUAAACUUUGGACACAUUUCUAUGUUGCUAAAGUGUAUCACCUACAUAUUAUCACCUUCGUUUCACAGAUUAGGAAAGAUCAACUCAGUCUUCCUGCAGCACUUAAACACUGGCAGUGGUGCUGAUCUUCCCUGGAUGGAAUUCUGUAUCACUCUCCUCGUCUGAACAGCUGCCUGGUGAAGGAACAAGCAAGAUGCAUGCACUCCAUGCAUGCUUUACGACCUGCAAGAAUCUUUCCAUUUCAAGACAGGUUUUAGACUGCCAUAAUAUGCGUAUGUGCGUCUUCUUCCUAUCACGAUGACAAAUCUGCCUAACCUUGCUAAGCCAUGAGAUGCCUCUGUAUGAUGCUUCAAGCCAAUCUAUUUUCAACGUUUUACACCUUCAGACUCCUCUAUGCAUGAUUUAUAUUCCCCUCCAGAAUACUGUCUCAUGAUACAGAACAUUACCAUGGUCCUCUCAUCCUGCAAGGGGAUGCUUUUCGAUCUCACCUCAUCAAUUGUGAUACAUGGCACUGGUGAAGUACUCGCAGGCAUGACUCCACAAAGCUGGUUGUUCUCAAAGGAAAGGCUGUUCCCAAACCUCACAGAAGCCAGAACAGCAUGCCCUGUGGAAAAGAUGCUGCAACCCUAUCAAAAGACAUGUUAUGGCAGUGUGCUGACAAACAAAAUCACAGCUGUUCAUCUUCACUCUGUGAAGUGGUGUAGUGUCCCUCCACCUCUACGGGCUCAUCUUUGUGUACUACUGUAUUUAAAGACAAAUCCACGUAUCACUGAUCAACCUCCUAGUUAUCAUUGAUACUUUGGCAGAAAGGCUGACUUCUUUUUCGUACUAGACUGAGUGGGAUAUAUGGUCCAAAGUCCUAUAUGACAAUUCCAGAACAGGAAUCAACAUUUUGGCUUCUAGUAUGGAAGAAAAGUGUUGGCACUUUUUACUCUUACACAUUUACUGAAUAUUUCCCUUGUUCUCUGGUGAGAAAGAAUAGUCUGCAUUUUCCUUUUCAUUCCACUGAUCCUGAAGUUUUAGGCAUAUUAUGACAAAAGGGUGAUUAUCAGUGUUCAUCCAUGUUCACCAACUGCUAAUGAAUCAAAGAUCUUUGACUCUUAAAGCCUCACUAAUGCUUACUUCCUGCACGUGCCAUCUUUCUCAUCCUCAGAAUCAAAGUGUUUCUGUAAGAUGACCUUUUAUAUCUCCAAAAACAGUUCAUGUUGAUUCAAACAAAGGGUCUUCACUGAAAGAGGAGUUUUAAAAUAGACUGCAGGCUGUGUCAAUGCCUUUUAUGGUACUGAUAAAGACAGGGCCUUUUUAUCAUCAGAGCUCCACCAGAACUUAAGCUACAUCAGCAUGCUUGCUAAGAAAUACCUCUGAGUUGCAUCUGCUAACAUCUAUGGAAUGUUAUCUAUAGAUAAUACUUAAAGAUCAUUUGACAGAGUGGUCUUCAAGCUGUACAGUUGCUACAAAGUCCUCACCCUGUUUCCAUUUAAGCAUUUGUGGCAAUUACUUCUUGGAGUCACCUAGUGCAAGAAGAGGUAUGUAGACUGUCACUUGCAGACAGAAAGAUACGUUAAGCACGUCACUGAGAUACACAAUUGACAGGAAACCUACUUCCUGCCUUACUUACCCUUCCACUAUCUAGCUUGAAUCCUUUUAGCAUCAUGUACCUUUGGGAUUUUGCAGUUACAAGAUGCUCUCUACCAGAUGUGCUGCUAAGUGUUGCAUGAUGGAAGGCAAGGCUUGAGCUCACCCCUACAGACAGGUCAUUGCAGUGACAUCUCCUUCUUCUCUGAACCUGUAACACCUAUUCUCCAGAGAACCCAGUUUCUUUGGGAGCAUGCCCUCUUAGCUUUACAAUAAUCUACAAAACAUAACAGGGUCUAGGAUCACUUACUUUAUGGUAACUGGCACCACCCAUGUGGAAGACCACAUCAGUACUAUAGAAGUACAAACAUAAAAAUACUAUAGAAGAAUGUUCAAGAGCUCCACUAAUCAAAAAGCAAGCAACUGAUUUCUUCAUGUACUGCCAUACAUCCAUUAAAUCUAAAUAUUGAAAGAUCUCCAGAACACAGCGAGUCAGUGCUCUGCUGAACUGACGCAAGGCAUAUCCUUCACCCCCAAACGGCCUUCCCUGUGACGGCUACACAGAUCAGGUCGAAGCAUCCUUCCCGAAGCGCCCCUGCAGACGGCUGCCGGCACCUCCUUAAGAAGGGGUCCCGCCGCCCGCCAGCCCCCGCUGCGAGAACGGGAACGGCCGCUCCGCCCGCGGGCUCCCGAGGAAGGCGCUGCCGGCCCGACACAGGCCCCGGCAGUCCCUCGGGGCCUGCGGUGUCGCAGGAACCCCCAGGACGGCGCCGCCGCCGCCCCCC
rnacentral:lncRNA from 1 species